rnacentral:misc_RNA from 1 species
GGAAGGAUCAUUCUUAAACUGCUGUCGCUUCGGUGGCAACAACCCCCUCAACGUGUAACCUGGGUUCAUUUUGUUAUGGGCCCGCCCCAGCCCGAUUCGAAGAGUGAGCGAUCGCUACUCGGAUCGGUGUCGGGAAACUUUAAUAUAAAUUCAAACUUUUUUUAUUUACCGAAAGACCACUUUAGGCGGUGGACACCUCGGCUACCACAACGAUGAAGAACGCAGCAAAGCGCGAUAUUUAUUGCGAUGUGCAAUCCAUGCGAGUCAUCGAAACUUUGAACGUAAUACAGCUUUGGGUUCUCCCAUAGCUACUCCUCUUUGAGUAUCGAAACCAACAACCAAACCAAUCUCUAGGGAUUGGGCCUUGGGAUUCAGUCAGCAGUUCCGCUAUUGGCUUGUCUCCUUAAAUUCAGGUAUGUCAGCGCAUGGGCUCGGUCGGGUAGCUCUGUAGAUGGGUUUCGUUCGUAUUCGUACGAAUGGGAAAUAUAUACAGUGAUGCUUGUUCGGUUCUGUGUCUGGCACUGCUUCGAAGUUUGGAAACAAACACAAUUUUCGGUAUGAUCUCAAAUGAGGUGAGACCACCCCCUGAGCUUAAGCAUAUUCGUAAGGGGAGGAAAAGAAACCAACAGGGAUUCCCUCAGUAACUGCGAGUGAACCGGGAAGAGCUCAAACUGAAUCCUUCUCGUUCUACGAGUGGGAGUUGUGGUUUGUGGGGGCACGCUCAGCGUGUGGCCUCGAUCUAAGUCCGUUGGAAGACGGCUAUCAGAGAGGGUGAGAAUCCCGUCUGCGAUCGAGUGUCCGCCGCGUACGAGCUGCCUUCCUAGAGUCGGGUUGCUUGAGAGUGCAACCUUAAUCCGGUGGUAAACUCCAUCGAAGGCUAAAUAUAUGUGGUAGUCCGAUAGCGCACAAGUACCGUAAGGGAAAGGUGAAAAGGACUUUGAAAAGAGAGUCAAAAGAACUCGAAACCGCCUAAAGUCUAAGGGAUGGGAACUGUUGUAUCGGGUCGCCACAUUUCCAGUUUGGGGGGCGAUUGUUCAUGGCAUGGUGUGGUGGCUUCACUUGUGGGGUCACUUGCCGGUUGUGGGUAAUUGUUUCUUGGGCUGGCGCUUGUGAGCGCGAGUUUGCAAUUGUGGGUUUUGCUUGGCAAAAGGUGCUUGUCGGGAGGUAGAGUGUUGAUCGAGCUUUGGCUCGUGAUCCUUGAUGACCGGCGGGUAUAACUGUGUCGGGUGGGACCAAGGCAUUGAUGAUUGCAAUAUACGGUUCCCAUUCACCCGUCUUGAAACACGGACCAAGGAGUCAAACGUAUGCGCAAGUCCGAGGAAUGGCAACUCUUAGGGCGUAAUGAAAGUGAAGACACUCCUUUGGGGUGUGUAGGUGUGAAGGGUUUCUGGCCUGGCAACAUCUCCCGGCCCCGCCUUUAGUGUGGGGUUCGAGGUCGAGCGCAUACGAUUGGACCCGAAAGACGGUGAACUAUGCCUGGGCAGGGUGAAGCCAGGGGAAACUCUGGUGGAAGCUCGUAGCGAUACUUACGUGCAAAUCGUUCGUCGGACCUGGGUAUAGGGGCGAAAGACUAAUCGAACCGUCUAGUAGCUGGUUCCCCC